ACCCUAUAUGAGAGUGUGGCAGUCACAUCUCCACACACACACACACGCCAUUCUUCAGUCCUGUGUACAGUAGCAAGAACAAACAAAUAGAAAAUUAUGGACCUUGUUAAGGGAGCUGUCGAUGGACAGGUUGACCAGGUCAUUGAUAAAGCAGCUCAAGUUGCAAAGGAGAAAGUUGGUGAAAUGAUGGGCACUGCAAAAGAGAAGAAAGAACAAGGUAUUGGAGAUAUGGUCGGGGAUGUCGCUGGGAAGCUGGCUGGUGGUGCCACUGCAGACAGUGCAGCUGACCAGGCUGUAAAUAUUGGCAAAAAACUAUUUGGAUGAUUUCUCCUGCAAUGCUAUUCUUUGUGUAAUAUUGUUUGAUAUGCAAAUAUUGGUUUUUGAUAGACCUGAUACAAUUUUUGCAAAUUCUUUCGUCAUAUUGUCAGCAGCCAUUGUUAGUGGAUGUUUCAUAUAGAGUUUCUUUCAUUGGAAACUCCCUAUCUUAAUAGCGUAUGAGCAUCUUGUCAAAAUGUCUUAAUACGUUUCUAUAUGCCAGAGCUUUGUGUUUACAUGCCGAGAGCACAGAUGACUACAAGGUGUUUAGAUGCUAUGUAAGUUUUGAAAUAAAGCAUGCUGUUUAAUGA